rnacentral:rRNA from 1 species
GACGAACGCUGGCGGCGUGCCUAAUACAUGCAAGUAGAACGCUGAAGGAGGAGCUUGCUCUUCUGGAUGAGUUGCGAACGGGUGAGUAACGCGUAGGUAACCUGCCUGGUAGCGGGGGAUAACUAUUGGAAACGAUAGCUAAUACCGCAUAACAGUAGAUGUUGCAUGACAUUUGCUUAAAAGGUGCAAUUGCACCACUACCAGAUGGACCUGCGUUGUAUUAGCUAGUUGGUGGGGUAACGGCUCACCAAGGCGACGAUACAUAGCCGACCUGAGAGGGGGAUCGGCCACACUGGGACUGAGACACGGCCCAGACGCCUACGGGAGGCAGCAGGAGGGAAUCGUCGGCAAUGGACGGAAGUCUGACCGAGCAACGCCGCGUGAGGGAAGAAGGUCUUCGGAUCGUAAAGCUCUGUUGUCAGAGAAGAACGAGUGUGAGAGUGGAAAGUUCACACUGUGACGGUAACUUAUCAGAAAGCGACGGCUAACUACGUG